rnacentral:rRNA from 1 species
CCUACGGGAGGCAGCAGUGAGGAAUAUUGGUCAAUGGACGAGAGUCUGAACCAGCCAAGUAGCGUGAAGGAUGACUGCCCUAUGGGUUGUAAACUUCUUUUAUAUGGGAAUAAAAUGUUCCACGUGUGGGAUUUUGUAUGUACCAUAUGAAUAAGGAUCGGCUAACUCCGUGCCAGCAGCCGCGGUAAUACGGAGGAUCCGAAGGUUAUCCGGAUUUAUUGGGUUUAAAGGGAGCGUAGGUGGAUUGUUAAGUCAGUUGUGAAAGUUUGCGGCUCAACCGUAAAAUUGCAGUUGAAACUGGCAGUCUUGAGUACAGUAGAGGUGGGCGGAAUUCGUGGUGUAGCGGUGAAAUGCUUAGAUAUCACGAAGAACUCCGAUUGCGAAGGCAGUUCACUGGACUGCAACUGACACUGAGGCUCGAAAGUGUGGGUAUCAAACAGGAUUAGAUACCCGUGUAGUC